AGCUUUGCACAGUGGCAGUAUCAUAGCCAAUGAGGUUUAUCCAAGGUGCGAUUAUUGCUAAUUGGAGACUUUCCAAUACCCCGCCAUAACAACUUGAAAUGUAGUCAGCACUGGCAAUUUUUGACGGUCUCUACAGAGA
ensembl:snRNA U4 U4 spliceosomal RNA